ACACACACACACACGCUCUCUGCAUUAUAUACACACCAAGUGUGUGUUUGUAUGAGUGUGUGUAUAUAAUGCAGAGUGUGUUUGUAUGAGUGUGUGUGUGUAUAUAAAAAAACAGCUGAACAAAGGGAAGCUUUAGGAACACUCGUGAAGGGGUUAACUCAUACGCCUAAGCGGUAAUUGGAAAAAGAAAGAGAAAAGAGUG